ensembl:misc_RNA Metazoa_SRP Metazoan signal recognition particle RNA
GCCAGGUGUGGUGGUGCAUGCCUGUAAUCCCAGCUACUCAGGAGGCUGAGGCAGGAGAAUUGCUUGAACCCAGGAGGCAGAGGUUGCAGUGUGUCCAAGAUUGUGCCACUGCACUCCAGCCUGGAUGACAGAGCAAGACUCUGUCUCAA